GGGGUGUUCUCAGAGCAGGGGGCCUGAAGAAAUGGCUUCUCUGUUUACAGUACACCCAACAGGAAUCUGAGUUCAUUGGCAGGGGGCAUAGAACUAUGACCUUCCUGUGAACAAAUACCGCACGUGU
rnacentral:snoRNA from 12 species